UACGUGAGGGGCGAACGUUGUUCGGUGUCACUGGGCUUAAAGGGUGCGUAGGUGGUUGUGUAAGUAAGGAGUGAAAUCCCUCGGCUUACCCGGGGAAUUGCUUUUUAUACUGCAUGACUUGAGGAUCAGAGGGGAAAAGGGAACUCCAGGUGUAGCGGUGAAAUGCGCAGAUAUCUGGGGGAAGGCCGGCGGCGAAGGCGCUUUUCUGGCUGGUUCCUGACACUGAGGCACGGAAAGCGUGGGGAGCAAACAGG
rnacentral:rRNA from 1 species